CAGAUUUGCAAACCUAAAAACCUGUGUAAUGCUUUAAACCAUCUCAGCACAUACCAGGUUUACGCACAUUAAAAAGUUAACCGCAAAGGAACACUGAAGCCCGUUACCCCGCAUGUGUGCCAGUAUAUACCCUCACUUAACUAAAGGCUCAGUCACAUCUGAACAGCUAAAAAUUAACCUUGCCCUUUAGGCUAAACAGAGUCAUGUCACUGGCUCCAGCUUCAUUGUUACAUAACACAUAACAAAACUCCAGUGGGGCAUGGUGCUGGCACAUAGGGUCUCAGGUAUGUGGUGUGAUUUUUCAGACUCUCUUUUGGGCAUAGUCAUGUACGUGAACUAGCUGGUACUUAUGAUUAUGCUAUUUCUAUGCAUGUAUCAUCUUGGUAUCUGAAGGAAUGAAUAUUAGCGAUGUUUACUACAGGUUUGCUCCUGUGGUGAUGCCCACAAGGUAUUUAGCCAGCACAUGAAGGGACAAGUCAAGUUGAAUGGCCUAUUAAGGAACACUUAGCUCACAAAGGACCCUGGAAAAUGUCUGUCUACACUUAAUAGACUUUUUGUGAAAGUUCUCACUAGAAUACGGGUGGGGUUGAUGGACAUGAACUGCCCAGUGAUGCCAAACACCAUCUUUCACAAUGAGAACAGAUUUCCCUGUACUUGGCAGAAGGCGGGGCCCCGGGCUGGAGUUGGGAGGAGUCAUGUGGAGGGUCACGUGGGGAGGUUACUUGCCCCCCUUUGUGUCCUUCCCAUGAGUGCAGUACCGGCAAGAAAUGAUUUCUACUUGCACCACUGCAUGGGGGGAGCCCCCGAGAGGCAGCACCAGCCCUGCCAACUGGCAACAGUACCAACCUGAGCUCCUCCAUUGUUGCCCCCGCCCUUCCCGGCUUAGCACUCUGCUGCCUCUGAGGCACCGGCACGGGGCCAAAAAUUUACCAAACGUGUUGGGAACACAGGAGUGUGAGUGUGUGUGUGUGGGGGGGGGGGGGGAGUGCUUUGUCUCUGCUGGCCAUUGUGACGCCCCUAGUUAAAUGAGUUAGGUGGAACUCCUAACACCCCGCCAAUGCCCCUUUUUGGUGUCACAGUCAGAUCAAGAACCAAUGUGAAACUCCUAAUCCAAGUGUGGCGGGGUAGAUUCCCACCCAGGGCAGGAAAAGGGGUAAAGAGCUACUCAGCACAAUCGUCCCCAACCCAGCACACCUGUCAGGGCUUAUCAACCCUGGGUCCUCCCCAGGAGGAUCCCUGUUCAGUGCAGGGUAAUAGUAUGAAGGGACCAGGACUGGAAGAAGGGUUUGACCAGGGAAACGGCUUGAGAGCCUAAGCUGCCCAUGCCCUGUCCUCUCAGAAAGGAGAAGGGCCGGUACUUCUCUCUCCUUGUUUAAAAAAAACUCUUUGGCUUCUUGAGUGCUUCAGACUCUGCUUUUUGUGGGCUGCAGAAGCAUAUUGACUUUUUGGCUUGGACUCCUUUGAUGCACACCUCCGGAAAGGGGGCAGAAGCCCUUAACAGCACAGCCAGAGGGCUGUGGCCUGGGCUCUCCCCAGGAGCAGUGCCCAUCCUCUCCUCAAAGAGGUGCUAGAAGGAUACAGGACCAGCUCCAGGCACCAGCGAAGGAAGCAGGUGCCUGGGGCGGCCCAUAGAAAGGGGAGGCAGUCCGUCUGUCAUCGGGGCGGCAUGUCUGGGUCUUCGGCGGCAAUUCGGCGGCGGUCCCUGCGGUCCCUCUCUUCCUCUUCGGCGGUAUUUCGGUGGUAGCUCAACCAGGCUUGUUUUUUUGUUUUUUUUCCUUCACCGCUUGGGGCGGCAAAAAAGCUGGAGCCGGCCCUGGAAGUAUAACCUAUUACAUGGAGACAUGGAGGAUUCUCUUAACACAUCGUAUAAAAUCAGGCUCAUAAAAACUGAAGAAUCGAGCAGUUAUGAGAACUACAUGAUGGAAAUUUUGGAAGUUAUUAAAGCCGGAGCUGGCAGUGACCAACGGGAAUAAUUUGGCCAGAGUCCAGGUGCGGUCAGUGUGUUAGGUGUACCUGCACUAAAUGGUGGAGGCAGUAGGUGGGCCUGCUGAGUAAAGAGUCCAGGACCUGAAGUUUUGUAGAGAUGGUGAGGCAAGGCUCCACCCUCUCCUAACCAAGGAGGACCAGCUCUGGGAAAGAGGUCUACAUAUAUUCUGCCUCCUUCCUCAAAACACCACAGACAGUGGAAGGUUGAUGUCAGCUGAGCUCUCCCAGUCCAGGGAGAAAAGAACUAAUAUGAAAAAAGACCAGCUGGAGGAGAAGCUGGUUUAAAGCCACAGCGGGCCUGAGAUAAUAAACACAGCCCAACAAGGGGAGCUGUGGGAGAAGCUUGACAGGAAAUCCCCUUGCCCCAAGAAGGAGGCCUAGGAAAACCCCUGGAUCUGAGGCCCAUCCACCCCUUGCAGCCAAUGUUGUUCCAGUGCAUUCUGGGAUUCACCUGUCCGCUUGCCCUCCACACGGGAAGAUCAGACCCAGGAGUCCCUCUACAAGGAAGCAGCAGUGAUCAGGCGUUGGAAGGAAAAGGAUGUUUCUCACCUAUGGCGUCCUGGAGAUGUAAUGGGUCUUUCACAUAAUCAGCUUGGACCUCCUCUAUUGCCAGCCUGACCCCAGCCAGCUCCUUGGACACUGCAAACAACAAGGGGCAGAAAAGAACUUUUGUAAAUGUGCACGUCGAAGGGAGAGACCCCACCCAUGUGGAGCCCCCACGAGUUUAUUGCACGUCUUCUGACAUUUGAUAUGUUUCUUCAAGCCCCCAGUCCUCGAUUUAUGCAGUUAGGAGAGAGUCUCAGCUUUUAUUUAAAAAAAUUAAUUUCUACCCGUCGAGGUAGCAGAGAACAGCUUAAUAACGUGACCCAAGCAUGACCCUAAAGGCUCAGAAACCAGAACACAAAUAAAUCAAACCCAACAUUUAUUGUAUUUUUUAAAAUCUCGUGAGUUUUAAGCCAGUCUCAUGGGCUUGACUCAAGAUUUUUGAAUGCUGGGGUUGGCAGCACAAGGGAGCUGUUUAUGCCCAACGUCGCGAGA